rnacentral:misc_RNA from 1 species
GAUGAAGAACGUAGCGAAAUGCGAUACGUAGUGUGAAUUGCAGAAUCCAGUGAAUCAUCGAAUCUUUGAACGCACAUUGCGCCCUUUGGUAUUCCUUAGGGCAUGCCUGUUCGAGCGUCAUUUAAACCUUCAAGCUAAGCUUGGUGUUGGGUGACUGUCCGCUUCACGGCGGACUCGCCUCAAAAUUAUUGGCGGCCGGUACAUUGGCUUCGAGCGCAGCAGAAACGCGAACUCGGGCCCGUCGUAUUGGCUCCCAGAAGCUAUCUUCACAAUUUUGACCUCGGAUCAGGUAGGGAUACCCGCUGAACUUAAGCAUAUCAAUAAGCGGAGGA